UUGAAACGGUGUUCGCCGUAGUGUGGGUGAACAAUUCGCCGUGAAGUCAGAAUGUUUGACGUUUCCGACUGGCGGUAGUAGAGCAGAAAAUGUAAUGGAUUUAGUAAUUGGGCUGUGUUUGGCGGAUGACGGGUUUGAUUGGAGGCUGUCGGGGUGACCGUUAUUAGGUUCAUCAUUUGCGAUGUGAGAAGUAUGGGAAUGGCUGCCGAAAAAGAAGAAUAUUAUAUUUCAAGCUUUAAUAUCUUUUGUCGGCGCGAUCAGCCUUCAAAUCUUGCUGUUUGAAUCCCAUGAAGAUUGUGAAACUGUAGCACAAUCUAUCGGUGUGGAUGCCCUAUAAUCCAAGUAGUGAACAGGAAACACUAAUUCGAGGCAUAUGAUGUUCUCAGCAAUAUGACUAUUAUGUAAACCCUCUCUUCCUUCGAACAACAUGAAUUUGAUCUUGCCACUUUCGUUGACAAUGUGGCUUAUAUCAGCAUGCCUUCCGUUUCGAUCAAACCGGUUAAUGCGGAGAUUAAAUAUGGACUCAAACCUCUUUUUCGGACCUUUGAGAAACCUCCAGGCUUGGGGAGAAUCGAUCCUUCCCCGUACCCUCUCGUAAUGGCCGCGUAUGCUUCACGAAGGACUAAACAGGAAAUAUAAAUUCGCGUGAAAAUUGAAAAAUAUUUUGCAAAGUUGCAUUAUUAUCCUUAUUCAAUUUGAUAGGCCUCAAUUGGCUGAAAGAGGAAAGCUUGGCUUAACAUUUUUUCGGAGCCCAUGCUCUUGUCAGGAUUAUGUAUUGAAUCGAAAGUGUCAUCAGUUUGCCUGGGUCAAGUAUAGCCUUUUAAGGAGUUAUCCUACAAAAAGGAAAUUAUCCGUCAGUCCGAGUUUGGCUCCUAAAUCACGUCUCACAGGAUAGUCUAAAUCACCGACCUAAAUAAGUAAUUUACAUUCUUGAAAGCAAAAAGAAGAAAAAUUUCACCAGAAAGUAUUAUUUCGAUAAAUCAAAGGUUCUACCAGAAACUGAUAUGAAUCCUGCUGACAUCAAAGAUGUCUCCGAAUAUAUGUAACAUUUUCGCAACAUCGCAAGGCGUUGCCCUUGGAAAUGGAGGCCUACAAUAUUUACAAGUCUACAAGCACCCAAGUGAAAGGCUGAUAGCAUGCACACGCAGCUCAAUUGCAGAAGACAA